GACGAACGCUGGCGGCGUGCCUAAUACAUGCAAGUAGAACGCUGAAGGAGGAGCUUGCUUCUCUGGAUGAGUUGCGAACGGGUGAGUAACGCGUAGGUAACCUGCCUGGUAGCGGGGGAUAACUAUUGGAAACGAUAGCUAAUACCGCAUAAGAGUAGAUGUUGCAUGACAUUCGCUUAAAAGGUGCAAUUGCAUCACUACUAGAUGGACCUGCGUUGUCUUAGCUAGUUGGUGGGGUAACGGCUCUACAAGGCGACGAUACAUAGCCGAACAGGGAAGGUUGUCGGCCCAACCGGGACCGGAGAACGGCCCCGACUCCUACGGGAGGGAACAGUAAGGAAUUUUCGGGCAAGGACGGAAGUCUGAACGGGCAACGCCGCGGGAGUGAAGAAGGUUUUCGGGUCGUAAAGAUCUGUUGUAUGAGAAGAAAGAGUGUUGGAGUGGAAAGUGCACACUGUGACGGUACCUUAUCAGAAAGCGACGGCUAACUACGUG
rnacentral:rRNA from 1 species